UACGUAGGGACCAAGCGUUGUUCGGAUUUACUGGGCGUAAAGGGCGCGUAGGCGGCAAUUCAAGUCAUCUGUGAAAUCUCCGGGCUUAACUCGGAAUGGUCAGGUGAUACUGCUUUGCUAGAGUGCAGAAGGGGCAAUCGGAAUUCUUGGUGUAGCGGUGAAAUGCGUAGAUAUCAAGAGGAACACCUGAGGUGAAGACGGGUUGCUGGGCUGACACUGACGCUGAGAAGCGAAAGCAUGGGGAGCGAACAGG
rnacentral:rRNA from 1 species